rnacentral:rRNA from 1 species
GACGAACGCUGGCGGCGUGCUUAACACAUGCAAGUCGAACGGGAUUUAGUAAACAGAAACCUCGGUGGAAGAUUACUAAUGAGAGUGGCGAACGGGUGAGUAACGCGUGAGCAACCUGCCUAUGACAGUGGGAUAGCCUCGGGAAACCGGGAUUAAUACCGCAUAAAAUCGUAGAAACACAUGUUUUAACGGUCAAAGAUUUAUCGGUCAUAGAUGGGCUCGCGUCUGAUUAGCUAGUUGGUGAGAUAACAGCCCACCAAGGCGACGAUCAGUAGCCGGUCUGAGAGGAUGAACGGCCACAUUGGAACUGAGACACGGUCCAAACUCCCACGGGAGGCAGCAGUGGGGAAUAUUGCACAAUGGGGGAAACCCUGAUGCAGCGACGCCGCGUGAACGAAGAAGGUAUUCGUAUCGUAAAGUUCUGUCCUAUGGGAAGAUAAUGACAGUACCAUAGAAGAAAGCUCCGGCUAAAUACGUG